UUUUGCUAUAGUGAGGCCCGUCUCCUGAUUUACGUGCGCAUCAUCGGCAGGAUGAGGGCGAAUUUUUGUAUCUGCUGGAUUGCCUGUCAGGUUGUCGGGAAGUCAUUGAGAAAACGGUACUGCGGAGAUUUAUACAAUUUGGAGACGGAUUUUAAUUCAUUUUAAUAUGAUGUUAGUUCCGGGAUAGUGAUCCUUGUGAGUGCAGUGGCAUCAGGAGAUGGAGACGGCGUUGUAAGGUUGUCAGUUUUUUGUGUUUAUAAUCGCGAAAGGUGGCGAUUUUGUUUUUCUUUUGCGGAGCCGGUCUUCUCUUGAUGGUUGUGUUGGAUCACCAGUUGGCUCUGGUUAUUGAGGUUUUAGCGUCAACUAAUGUAGGCGCUCGUCGAUCUGGAAGAUUAUCAGAGUAGCAGGAAGGAUAGAUUUUGCUGCUCCGCGCAAGGUGCCCUGAUCGGAGCAUAGGCAGCUUAUAUGGCCCGUCAAUUGCAGCGCAGCACUGCAAGUAGAUUGUAUCGGUGAUAAGGGAUACUACCA